CUCCAAUAAUUACAUGAGUACAUGCCUUCUUACUGAAUAUUGUAGUUACAUUCCGGUGUUUUCCAUGCUAACAAUGAAUUUUAAAGUGAUAAGAUAACACUAUUAUUAUUAUAAUAAAAUAAAUUUUCAAAUAAUAAACAAAACGGCAAGUAUUUUUGUUAGUAGAUUCUCUAGUAGACGCAGAUGAACUAAAUUAAAUAAAGAGAAAUUAUCCGGUGCACUUAUUCAAUUUAUUUUGAUGAAUUAAUUUGAACGAGUCAUUUUCAUCACACAUCACUUUAUAAUACAAAAAUUGACACCAGUUGGAAAUAUAAUCAAAUUGGCAUUUGACAAUUUUGUAGCUAGCAUAUUCACAAACGAGGUCUUAAAAAAGAAGAGUUCUUUAGCUUUCAAAUUGUUUUGUAUUUAAUAUAAUUUAAAUUAGAUUCAAUUUUAUAUUUUUAAUAUGUCUGAUGUCGUGAAUUGUUCAUACAAAGUUUAUUGAAACAAUAUUUUAUUUUUUUGUUUCAAUUUUCGUUUAUUCGAAAUAUUUUCGGUAAUGGUUGAUUGCUGUAAACUUAACAAGAUUAUAAUAUCUUUGUAGCAGAAGAAUAAAUGUUUAUAUAUAAUCUGUAAUCACUUUCCUUUAAAAUGUUUAAAUUUAGUUUAAAAUGUGGAGAUAGUGUAAAAGAAAUAAAUAUUGCAACAAGCUUAAAUAACUGGAAGGAAUAUAGACACUCCAUGAAAAAUUUUCAAACAAUUAUUAAUGAAUAUUUAACCAAGUUAGUCAAUGAUGAAAAAAGUGGAGAUCAUGUUGAGGAUGAAGAAGAUUCUGAAGAAUCGGAUACAGAAGAUGAUACAUAUUCCAGACAAAAAUUAGACCCAUCUAGAAAUAAAAUAAGAAAAUUGGAUUAAAUAUAUAAUUCAAUUACA